UGAUUAUUCACAUACAAGAUCGCUGCUGGAAAGAACAUGGAUUUCAGUUGCAAAUACCUCCGCAUUUUCCUUACGCUUCUUAUCAUGGCUGCCAUGUUGUCAGCCGCCUACGUUGAAUCGGCAACACUUGGUGGCGUUGAUAUCGGCAUGCAUCGGGACCAAAGGGGUUGGUGGGGCAACUUAUGGAGCGGAGUGAAAAAAGCUGCACAAUUCGUUGUCAAUGGAGCUGACUCUGGACAAGAAGAAGAAAAAGAAGAACGGCAAGAAUAAGAGCAAACGUUUGGAGUCCAAACAACCACAUCUCUGGAUGUUAAAUUAUCGCAACCAAUAUUAAUAUCCUCCAAUUUAAUGCUUAUUGGUUUUCAGAGCUUAUCUAUUUGCUUUUCUAACUGCCUGCUGACAAAUCACUCUGGUCGACAGAGUGAAUAUCUUAAAAUUAAUAUGGAAAACUAAUAAAUUUUUUAAAACCAA